AAUAACCAAAUAUAACACCGGGGCUAAGGGUCAAGUUGGUUAUUUUUCUUACAUCCCCCCCCCCCGGGGGCCCAGGUAUCAUAUACACCGCCAAAAUAAAGAGCCUUGAGUACUAGAAGAAAAGCACCUAGACCUAACAAAAUUAAAUGAAUACCCAAAAUUGUAGUCAUUUUAUUUCUAUCUUUCCA
rnacentral:antisense_RNA from 1 species